rnacentral:lncRNA from 1 species
ACUCGCGAGGGGGCGUGCCGCAGGUUAACCGUUCCAGUAAAGUUGGCGGCGCCAUUGCAUGAGCAUGUAUGUGUUGUAUGUGGAAAAAGAAAAAGCAACGAUCGUUCAUUGAAGGCUCACUUCUUCCCGAAAGAUACGAGGCGAUUUUGUAACAGCAGACUUUGGAAAUAUCAGCUUCUCAGUUGACACUGAUCCUGACGUAACUGAUACAGGGACUUCUUUCGAAAUCAAUUCAUGUUUACUUGAUCUCCACCUCCCACAGCUGAGGAAGUCAGUCUUAAGCUCCGUCGCCCGAACCACCAUGGACACAACGGGACCUUGAUCAUCAUUCGUCACUCGGGCCCAUCUUAUUCCCCAACGGCAACCCUCCAUAGAACCGUUUUCUCACUUAAUCACCACCUAUGUGUUUGAGAGUCUAAAUUGUAUCGAGGUUUCGUUGAAAGUCAUGAAUAACUGUUCUGUUUAAGUGGAAUACCCUCUCUAUUGUUGGACAAC